rnacentral:lncRNA from 1 species
UAAAGGCUGAUUUUGCUCGAACCCGAUCGGGAGAUGGGCCCUUAAUUGCACGUGUUAAUUGCUCCCGAGUCCCACUACCGGACGGACGUGUUGCAUGCGGAAAAAAAAAUCGAAACAAAAGCUGUGAUUGGCCAUCUUUAUGGGAGCGGAUUAAUGACUUGCCUAAAACAACACCCGCGCAUGCUGGGCAUUUAAUGGCGAGAGAAAAUUAC